UACACUCCUACGGGAGGCAGCAGUGAGGAAUAUUGGACAAUGGGUGGAAGCCUGAUCCAGCCAUCCCGCGUGCAGGAAGACGGCCCUAUGGGUUGUAAACUGCUUUUAUCUGGGGAUAAACCUACUUACGUGUAAGUAGCUGAAGGUACCAGAAGAAUAAGCACCGGCUAACUCCGUGCCAGCAGCCGCGGUAAUACGGAGGGUGCAAGCGUUAUCCGGAUUUAUUGGGUUUAAAGGGUCCGUAGGUGGACUGAUAAGUCAGUGGUGAAAUCCGACAGCUUAACUGUCGAACUGCCAUUGAUACUGUUAGUCUUGAGUAAGGUUGAAGUGGCUGGAAUAAGUAGUGUAGCGGUGAAAUGCAUAGAUAUUACUUAGAACACCAAUUGCGAAGGCAGGUCACUAAGUCUUAACUGACGCUGAUGGACGAAAGCGUGGGGAGCGAACAGGAUUAGAAACCCCUGUAGUCCCAUGAU
rnacentral:rRNA from 1 species